UUUGUACUCCCUCCGUCCCAAAAUUCUUGUCUUAAAUUUUUCUAAAUACGGAUGUAUCUAGUUACAUUUUAGUGUUAGAUACAUCCAUAUCUAAACAAAUGUAAGACAAGAAUUUUGGGACGGAGGGAAUAGUAC
rnacentral:pre_miRNA from 1 species